rnacentral:lncRNA from 1 species
AGAGAUGAUAAAUAUCAAAUUUAAAUUAAUGGGCUAAUUUAGUCCAUCAAAAUUAAAUUUUCAUGGAAAAUAUAGAGGGGUGGGUUUAAAAUUCUCACACUUUCUGCGAUUAGAAGAUGCUGUUGGGAACCCGGUACUAGUACCGGUACCGGAUUUUGUGAAUCCGUAACCCAUUCCGAUACCGAUUGUUGUUGAUCCGAUACCGAUUGUUGGGAUUUCGAAACGGAAGCGUCGAAUCGGGUUUUUAUCAUAAACUCGUCUCCUCAGCAAAAGCUAAUACAAUAACAAAAAAGAGAAAAACCAAAAUAGAAAAUAUGUGGGUAAAAUAAGAUUUAUUAAAUAAGAGAAGAUUACAUAUAACUCCUCUUCUGCAUAGAGAGUAGCUACAACCCGAGCCUUCUUUUUUGAAUCUCUCCUACCCUUCUCUCGUCUUCUAUAAACCCACAAAGAAGACAACUUUCUCAUUUUCUCUCUCUCACAUGCACCCGUGCACUAGGUGCAUGCAACUGGCCAACUCUCUCUCUCUCUCUCUCUCUCGUACAAUCCGCCAAAGAACUUCAACUUUUUGGCCCCACCCCAUCUCCAAAAGCACCCAACAUGGUGCUUAUAUAAUGCUUACAAUAAAAUGUACUCAAAUCCUAGUAUAUUUAGGAUUCCAACUCUAAUAAAUAUUUAAAUCUAUAUAUCAUUUAUCUCUAAUAGAUUUAAAUAUUUAUUCUAAUCAGUUAGAUUCAUACUCUAAUUAAUAUUUAAAUCUUAAUUUAUCUUCAGCAGAUUUAAAUAUUAAUCCUAAUCUAAAUAGGAUUUAACUACAAAUCUAACCAAAUCUUAACAAUCUCCACCUUGAUUGGAUUUGUAGCCUUCAACCGCUACGUCAAGCUCACCAAGCUCACCAUGCAAGCUCCACCUUGAGCUUGCCUCUUCCGCUCGAUGUCGCCGCGUCCAUCGCUUCGUCUCGAGCGACUGCACCUCUGCGAACUUUUGGAACCCAAACAGUUUUCGCUCCCGUUCUGAUUGUGCUUCCGUUCAGAACGUAUAAGUUUCUGCGUUUAUCACUACAACAAAAACGAUCUAUAGCGACACUUUUAAAUGUCGGUACAAGUCAAAAAAAAAUGUUGCUAGCUAAAUUACCGACACUUCUAAAAAGUGUUGCUUUAUGUGGGGUCGCUAGGUAUUAGUGACAGUUAAAGAGUGUUGCUAUAACCUAAAAAGAGAACUGCUAAUUUACCAAUACUUAUUUAAGCAUUUAGCAACCGCUGGAACUCUACCUUGUUGACUGCGGUGGCGGAGGGGGACGAGAGAAAGGGAUCUUCGUCUAUGAUUUCAGUCGAUUGAGUGAGGGGAAAAGGAAAAAUGGCAAUCGAUUUAUCUUUUUUUUUUCUUUUCUGUUUGUAAUCGGGCCGAAUGGGCUGGGUGGGGUGGUUGAGUAGAAUAACCUUUUAUUUUUGGUUGGAUUGGACUUUAUAUUUAGAUAUUAGUAGAUUUUUUUUUUUUUUAAGUUUUGGCAUAAAUGAAAAACUUACACAAAAGUGUCCCAAACAUGUGUCCCUAUAACCUAAUUUUGUUGUAGUGUGUUCAUCUCGCACACGACCCGAUUUCGCUUUCGGACCCUCAUAGCUCCACUUGAAGCCGAAAAAUCGCAACCCUUCGAGUCCAACAUGCCUAAACGAGAUCAAAUUGUGCUUUAAACAUCGAUCGCUCUGAACGAUCGGUAACAUCGUGCUCUGACAUCGAUCUUCUACAAGGAUCGGAAAUCCAGUGCUUUGACAUCGAUCUCUCCCAAAGAUCGGUAACCUUCAGCACUGAACCAAUUGUUGGGAAUCCGGUACUCGCCCCGGUACUGGAUCUUGUGAAUCCGCAAGGCACUCCGAUACUGACUGCUAUUGAUCCAGUAUCGAUUGUUGGGAUUUCGCAACGGAAGCAUUGAAUCGGAUUUUUAUCAUAAACCCGUCUCUUUAGAAAAAGCUGAUACAAUUACAAAAAAGAGAAAAACCAAAACAGAAAAUAUGUGGGUAAAAUAAGAUUUAUUAAAUAAGAGAAGAUUACACUUGACUCCUCUUCUACAUAAAGUAGCUACAACCCGAACCCUCUUUUUUGAAUCUCUCAUAUCCUUCUCUCGUCUUCUAUAAACCCACAAAGAAGACAACUCUCUCUUUUUCUCUCUCACAUGCAGCCGUACACUAAGUGCAUGCAACCGGCCAACUCUCUCUCUCUGGCACAAUCCACCAAAGAACUUCAACUUUUUGGCCGUACUCCAUCUCCAAAAGCAUCCCACAUGGUGCUUAUAUAAUGCUUACAAUAAAAUGUAACCAAAUCCUAAUAUAUUUAGGAUUCCUGCUCCAAAUAGGAUUCAACUACAAAUCUAACGAAAUUUUAACAGAUGCAGCAAGAAUCAUAAAUUUCUGCUACAUGAGAUUCUAUGGUGAAUCAAAUAUAAAAAUUUUAAAUUCCUAUCCCUCAUUCGUGAAAAUUUCAA